UACAGAGGUCUCAAGCGUUGUUCGGAUUCAUUGGGCGUAAAGGGUGCGUAGGUGGCGCGAUAAGUCGGGUGUGAAAUCUCGGAGCUUAACUCCGAAAAUUGCAUUCGAUACUGCCGUGCUCGAGGACUGGAGAGGGAUGUGGAAUUCCAGGUGUAGCGGUGAAAAUGCGUAGAUAUCUGGAGGAACACCGGUGGCGAAGGCGGCAUCCUGGACCGGUAUUGACGCUGAUGCGCGAAAGCCAGGGGGAGCAAACGGG
rnacentral:rRNA from 1 species